UGCUGCUGGGCCGCUGCCGCCCCGCCGCCCGCCUCGGCCUCGGCCGCAGCCGCGCCGCCCCCCCGCCGCGCCGCCGCCUCGCCGCCAUGCCCGGCCCGGCCGCCGGCAGCAGGUCGCGCGUCUACGCGGAGGUGAACAGCUUGAGGAGCCGCGAGUACUGGGACUACGAGGCCCACGUCCCCACCUGGGGUAAUCAAGACGAUUACCAACUUGUUCGGAAACUCGGCCGGGGGAAGUAUAGUGAAGUCUUUGAGGCUAUUAACAUUACCAACAAUGAACGAGUGGUUGUGAAAAUUCUUAAGCCAGUGAAGAAAAAGAAGAUAAAACGAGAAGUUAAGAUUUUGGAGAACUUACGAGGUGGAACCAACAUCAUCAAACUGAUCGACACUGUUAAGGAUCCAGUGUCAAAAACUCCAGCUUUAGUAUUUGAAUACAUCAAUAAUACAGAUUUUAAGCAACUAUACCAGAUCCUGACAGACUUUGAUAUUCGGUUUUAUAUGUACGAAUUGCUCAAGGCCUUGGAUUACUGUCACAGCAUGGGGAUCAUGCACAGAGAUGUCAAACCUCACAAUGUCAUGAUAGACCAUCAACAGAAAAAGUUGCGGCUCAUAGACUGGGGCUUGGCAGAAUUCUAUCAUCCAGCUCAGGAAUACAACGUCCGUGUGGCCUCGAGGUACUUCAAAGGGCCGGAACUCCUCGUGGACUACCAAAUGUACGACUAUAGCUUAGACAUGUGGAGCUUAGGCUGUAUGCUGGCAAGUAUGAUCUUCCGAAAAGAGCCUUUCUUCCAUGGCCAAGACAACUAUGACCAGCUGGUUCGCAUUGCGAAGGUGCUGGGCACAGAUGAAUUAUAUGGUUAUCUGAAGAAGUACCACAUAGAACUGGACCCACACUUCAAUGACAUCUUGGGACAGCAUUCACGGAAACGUUGGGAGAACUUCAUCCAUAGUGAGAACAGACACCUGGUCAGCCCCGAAGUCUUGGACCUUCUGGACAAACUCCUGCGAUAUGACCAUCAACAGAGGCUGACUGCCAAAGAAGCUAUGGAGCACCCCUAUUUCUAUCCUGUUGUGAAGGAGCAGGCCCAGCCCAUCUCUGACAGUUCUGUGCUCUCCAGUGGCCUAACAGCGGCGCGAUGAAAUUUGGGAAAUGACGGGUAAUUCCAGAGGUUUACAAAUACACACCUUCAGUCCCCCAGGGAAGGGGUGAACCAAACCUGUGAGCUCAACAGAAGCCUCGUCUUGAAGGGGGGUUAGGGCUUCGCCUCCAUCUCUCUCCAGCACUUAUGGCUACCCUAAAUUUCUCCUUGUGUUACCAAAGCCCUGGCACCAAACCGUGUGUAAGAUCUGUAUGGAUACAAGGGUAUGGGCCAUACCAGUGGGCUCUCGGUUGAUUCUGCAGUUUCCUACUACUCUCCUAACCAGCCCUUUUUUCUGUUCUUCCAUCAGGCAACUUUUUGACCCCCCCACCCCAUUCCCACUGGAAUGUAGCAUGCACCCCAUUGAAACAAGCCCGUGUGUCGCCAGGCAUAAGCAAAAGCAAGCCCUUCAAGUGGUCUGUCUGAUGCUGUUCCUCCCAAUUUUCCAUAACCAGAACAAAAUCAAACGUCUUAUCAGCUUGUGUACAGAGAUGGUGAUGUGCAGCUUCCAGAAGUCAUCCCAGUGGCAGGUUAUGGGAACAGGGACUGCGGUGGCGGCAGCUGACGGCACCCAACAGCAUAUAAAAACACAAACUUGUGUCUUUGACUUCCUGUUGAUCUCCUGACCAAGAAAGCAUGGGCGAUGUGAAGGGUAGGCAAAACCGUUGCCAGUUCAUGGGGCUUCACUCCAGCCUUGGUGCCCUUCCUCUAAACCCAGCCCAUGUUCUGAUAAAAUGGUUCCCGUUUUACAGGCUGGGAGAGGAGGGAGGUCCUGUGGCAUGAUGGACAGUUCUAUAACAAAAGAAUAAUUAUUAUUAUAUAUUGUUGAAUAAAAGUUUUAAAAGUUAAA